rnacentral:rRNA from 1 species
UACGUAGGGUGCAAGCGUUAAUCGGAAUUAUUGGGCGUAAAGAGCUCGUAGGCGGUUUGUUGCGUCGGCUGUGAAAUCCCGAGGCUCAACCUCGGGUCUGCAGUCGAUACGAGCAAACUAGAGUGUUGCAGGGGAGACUGGAAUUCCUGGUGUAGCGGUGAAAUGCGCAGAUAUCAGGAGGAACACCGGUGGCGAAGGCGGCGACCUGGGUCGACACUGACGCUGAGGCGCGAAAGCGUGGGGAGCAAACAGG